rnacentral:rRNA from 1 species
GCAAUAGUCUUAAGAAUGUCAUAUCAGUCUCGAAAGAGCAAUAAAAGUAAUAAAACUUUCAGCAACGGAUCUCUUGGCUCUCGCAUCGAUGAAGAACGCAGCGAAAUGCGAUACGUAAUGUGAAUUGCAGAAUUCAGUGAAUCAUCGAAUCUUUGAAC